rnacentral:lncRNA from 1 species
AAAAGCACAUCGGAGGUCUGAUUUGUACCACCAUGGAAGUGGUUUAGGUAUUUGCGGAGGAUUUCUUGGUUGGAGUAGGUUCUUGAGAACCAACGAUGGGUAUAGCUCUGCAUAGGUCAUCGGAAUAGGGUCGAAAGAGACCUUCUUCCUCUCAAAAUUCGGUUGUUGAUGAUUGUUGGUAUUGUUGUUGUAAGUGUUUG